rnacentral:rRNA from 1 species
CCUACGGGAGGCUGCAGUGAGGAAUAUUGGUCAAUGGGCGCGAGCCUGAACCAGCCAAGUAGCGUGAAGGAUGACUGCCCUACGGGCUGUAAGCUUCUUUUAUAAAGGAAUAAAGUGAGGCACGUGUGCCUCUUUGUAUGUCCUUUAUGAAUAAGGAUCGGCUAAAUCCGUGACAGCAGCCGCGGUAAUACGGAGGAUCCGAGCGUUGUCCGGAUUUAUCGGGUUUAAAGGGAGAGUAGAUGGGUUGUUAAGUCAGUGGUGAAAGUUUGCGGUUCAACCGUAAACUUGAAACUGAAACUGGCAGCCUUGAGUACAGUUGAGGUAGGCGGAAUUCGAGGUGUAGCGGUGAAAUGCGUAGAUAUCACGAAGAACUCCGAUUGCGAAGGCAGCCUACUAAACUGCCACUGACAUUGAGGCUCGAAAGUGUGGGUAGCAAACAGGAUUAGAUACCCUAGUAGUC